rnacentral:rRNA from 1 species
CGAAAGCCUGACGGAGCAACGCCGCGUGUGGGAAGAAGGCUCUUGGGCUGUCAACCACUUUUCUCAGGGAAGAAGAUCUGACGGUACCUGAGGAAUCAGCCUCGGCUAACUCCGCGCCAGCAGCCGCGGUAAUACGGAGGAGGCAAGCGUUAUCCGGAAUUAUUGGGCGUAAAGCGUCCGCAGGGGGCUCAUCAAGUCUGCUGUCAAAGCCCGGGGCUCAACCCCGACGCGGCAGUGGAAACUGGGAGGCUAGAGUACGGCAGGGGUAGAGGGAAUUCCCAGUGUAGCGGUGAAAUGCGUAGAUAUUGGGAAGAACACCGGUGGCGAAAGCGCUCUACUGGGCCGUGACUGACCCUCAGGGACGAAAGCUAAGGUAGCG